rnacentral:rRNA from 1 species
UGGGGAAUAUUGCACAAUGGGCGCAAGCCUGAUGCAGCCAUGCCGCGUGUGUGAAGAAGGCCUUCGGGUUGUAAACCUCUUUUAGUAGGGAAGAAGCGAAAGUGACGGUACCUGCAGAAAAAGCACCGGCUAACUACGUGCCAGCAGCCGCGGUAAUACGUAGGGUGCGAGCGUUGUCCGGAAUUAUUGGGCGUAAAGAGCUCGUAGGCGGUCUGUCGCGUCUGCUGUGAAAACCCGAGGCUCAACCUCGGGCCUGCAGUGGGUACGGGCAGACUAGAGUGCGGUAGGGGAGAAUGGAAUUCCUGGUGUAGCGGUGGAAUGCGCAGAUAUCAGGAGGAACACCGAUGGCGAAGGCAGUUCUCUGGGCCGUAACUGACGCUGAGGAGCGAAAGCGUGGGGAGCGAACAGGAUUAGAUACCCUGGUAGUCCACGCCGUAAACGUUGGGCGCUAGAUGUGGGGACCAUUCCACGGUUUCCGUGUCGCAGCUAACGCAUUAAGCGCCCCGCCUGGGG